CAUCUCGUGGUUGUCGAGGUAGUCAAGCGUAAGCUCUUGAACUUUCUUCCUCUUAUUUUCAUCCAUUUUCCAGACGCUUGACUACCUCUUCCACCCACUCUCAAUAAGACUAUCAUCGUUUUUUUUUCUAGUU
ensembl:ncRNA K04G11.7 ncRNA